GCCGCGCGCGGGCGAGCUGCGGGCGCGCGCGCUGCGCCGGCUGGCGGCGCUGGCGCAGCUCGCGCUGUCGCGGCUGCACUCCGACAACCCGCUGCAUCUGAAAGCUCUGGAGCAAGCAAGGAACGUAAUGGCAGAAGCGAAAGCGGCGGAAUGACGGUAACAGCGUGCGGUGGUCUUCCUUGUUACGUUAUGGAUACGUUCAAUACACGCAGUUUGGUAUAGUAAUAGGCCUCAGACUAAUUACAUAGGACCUGCCUCGAUAGACGUUACUUUUCUAUCAAAGUAUGUGAUC
rnacentral:lncRNA from 1 species